rnacentral:misc_RNA from 1 species
AUUUAAUAAGGAUAGUGAGAAGUUAUGGUCUGGUUGAAAACGAUAAAAAAAAGGAAAUGGGAAAUUUUGUCGUCGUAUCUGGACAAUGGAUUGACAAGAUCGGUCGGGAGCAGAGACUCAGCUCAGAGAGUCAGUCACCACUGGUCUCGGGCCUUGUCAGUCGCCACAGAUCAGUUUUCACUGCUCACUUCAGUGCUCGUCGACGAUAGCCUAAUCUCUCGAAACUCCGCGUCGAGACGGGUGCGCCGCCAUGUUUUCAGUUUGAGUCUCGCCCCGGCCCGUUCGCGUCUCUCGCCCGUCCUUACUCCUCGAAAGUUUUCGACGACAAAUGACAAAUCGGCCGACAUCUCGAUAGAAGAAUGGUCCAUCCAAUUUUAAUAAGGACGAAAUUGAAGGAGCUCGUAGAUUUCGGCCCGGCUAGAUGAAGAAAUACGUGAGAAAAUGAAUUUGAUAUGAGUGAAACACAUUCUGGCUUGGUCAAGCCACUUCUUCAAAAGCCCCCAACAGUAGGAGCUCAAUUGCUCCCCUUGGUUCCUGCCCCAACCACCCAACAGGGUGCACCAGCGAUGACACGGUUGGGGACAGUGAACCAAGGGGGGUGGAUUCCGGUGAGAUCGGCGUCAAACAACGGAGGAGGAGACUCGUCCAUGAUGUCAGCGCUGCUGAAUCAGGCCAACUCCCACCCAAAUUUGACUAACACGCUAACCUCGCCCAACUCUAGAAAGCGCAAAACGACCACAGAUGACCUGGUCGCAUUGCGCAGAAAGGUGGCUGAAAAUCACAGUUUACAGUUGAAGAGGCUGCAGAGCCGCUAUGCCGAAAACUCAGCUUUGUUGUGUUUCCUUCAAGGCAAUUUCAGUAUCAAUGAAUAUGCCAUUUGGAGGCAGAGACUUCCACCGGGGCAGUUAAUAAAUUUCCUUAAAUUGAAUAAGUUAAACCCUUCUGACGAAAAUGAAGAUUUGUUCGAAAUUUUACAAUCACAAAUAAAAUCCUCAAAUCAGCUUUCUCAUUCCCCUCCCAAGGCUAAUCAACUAGAUCAAAAGUUUAUUUUGCCUGAUAAAAGUUCAAGUUCUACUGCAAUUUCUAAAACUUCAACUCCUACAAAGAGCACUAGUCAUGGAAGCCUGCCUGAAAAUUCAAUUUCAAGUCAGGAGCAAAUUGUUGAGCGCGCCAAACAGGAGGCGUACGUUAUGCAGAGGAUAGGCGAAUUGCAAAAGGACGGUCUGUGGGCUGAGAAACGGUUGCCAAAAGUGCACGAACUCUCAAGGACAAAAGCCCAUUGGGAUUAUCUUAUCGAGGAGAUGACUUGGCUCGCUGCUGAUUUCGCACAAGAAAGAAAAUGGAAAAAAGCAGCUGCAAAAAAGUGUGCAAAAAUGGUGCAGAAAUAUUUCCAAGAGAAAGAGGUUCUUGCCCAAAAGGCUGUAAAAGCUCAGGAAAUGCAGUUGAAGAGAAUAGCUAGUUUUAUAGCUAAGGAAAUUAAAACGUUUUGGGGAAAUGUGGAAAAGUUAGUGGAAUUUAAAACCCAAACAAGGCUUGAGGAGAAAAGGAAAAAAGCACUGGAUCAACAUCUCAGUUUCAUCGUUGACCAAACUGAGAAAUAUUCCAGUUUGGUAGCUGAAUCUAUGAACACUUCUAGGCCAACGUCACCAAAGCAUCAUUCAGACAUGGAAUUUGAGCCUGAAGGGUCUUCUGAUGAUGAUGAAGAGACCAUCGCUAAAGAAGAAGCUCUGUCGGCCAUUGACAAAGAAUCUGCAAUAGAAGAGAUUGAUGCUUUGAAACGUGAGAGCGAACUUCCUCUUGAAGAUCUUCUUUCUGAUUAUUUAUCAAAGCGUGACUCCCUUGGUUCACCGACUUCAUCUAAGUACGAUGAUGAAGAAGAUGAUGAAGAUGAGAAAGACAUAAAAUCAUUGUCUGACAAUGAUUUUAGGGCCUCUGAUAAAGACUCAAGUGAUGAUGAAGAGACUAUUCAAGAAGAAGAAAAACUGGAGGGAAAGGUCAACUAUAAACAGGAAAUCGACGAGCUCAAGGCUGAGGGUGAUAUGAGCUUGGAAGAGUUAAAGGCAAAGUAUGGAGUCCAGGAAGACAAAAUGAACAGCUCACAAGAUGAAAAGAUGGAUCUAGAUGAAGAUUCAGAUGAUAUGGAUGAGGAUGAAAAUGAAUCUGAAGAGGUUGAUAUCGAAGACGACGAAGAUAUUGAGGAGGACCUGAGUGGAGAUAGUGAGCUGGAAGAAGAAUCAGGUCUGAAAUCUCUUCUGAACGAUGGUGUAAAUAUUGAUCAGAAAUCAUCCACUGAUAAGGACAAGGAAAUUAAUGAUGUUGCUGCAAUUGCUGAGAGUCUUCAGCCUAAAGGAAAUACUUUAUCUUCAACUAGCGUUGUCACGAGGAUUCCAUUUUUAUUAAAACACCCACUUCGUGAGUAUCAACACAUAGGUCUGGAUUGGCUGGUAACCAUGUACGAACGUAAAUUAAACGGGAUCCUUGCUGAUGAAAUGGGCUUAGGAAAGACCAUACAGACCAUAGCGCUAAUUGCCCACUUGGCAUGCGAAAAAGGCAAUUGGGGUCCUCAUUUAAUAGUUGUACCUACGUCUGUCAUGCUCAACUGGGAAAUGGAAUUCAAAAAGUGGUGCCCUGCUUUUAAAAUCCUCACAUAUUACGGUUCACAAAAAGAGAGAAAAUUAAAAAGAUCUGGCUGGACGAAAACAAAUGCUUUUCAUAUUUGUAUUACUUCUUAUAAACUAGUCAUUCAAGACCAUCAGAGUUUUAGAAGAAAAAAAUGGAAAUACCUGAUUUUAGAUGAGGCUCAGAAUAUCAAAAAUUUCAAAUCACAGCGGUGGCAGCUUCUUCUCAAUUUUCAAACGCAGAGGCGGUUACUCCUCACAGGAACACCCCUUCAGAACAACCUUAUGGAAUUGUGGUCGUUGAUGCACUUCCUCAUGCCGAAUGUCUUCGAGUCGCACCGAGAGUUCAAAGAAUGGUUUUCAAAUCCUGUAACCGGUAUGAUAGAAGGAAAUGCUGAAUAUAAUGAGAAUAUAAUAAAACGAUUACACAAGGUUCUAAGGCCAUUCUUGCUUCGAAGGUUGAAAUCUGAAGUUGAAACCCAAAUGCCAAAGAAAUAUGAGCACAUUGUAAUGUGCAGAUUGUCAAACAGACAGCGUUAUCUGUAUGAUGACUUCAUGUCUAGAGCAAAGACAAAAGAAACGCUGGCAUCAGGAAACUUACUGAGCGUCAUAAAUGUUCUUAUGCAACUGAGAAAAGUUUGCAACCAUCCAAAUCUUUUUGAAGUUCGUCCUACCAUUUCUCCAUUUCAAAUGGAGGGAUUGAAUGUCCCAAUACCUUCUCUUGUAUGGGGAGCUCUAGAUUACCGGCCUACAAAGGAUGUAGAUCUGUCUGCUUUAAAUCUGCGAUUGAUUGAUUAUGAACUCUGGCUACUUGCUUUUAUCGCUCACAGGUCUAGGAAGUUCAAAACCCGUUCAGAACUCAUUCAGGGGAUUGAUGAAGCGCCUCCAGAUCCUCCACCCUGUCCAAAGGGUAGAGUUAAAAUUCAAAUAAAGAGAAAGCCAUACCCUCCUCCCACUAUAGUAGCAGCAGCCACAGCACAAACGCAAAACAAAACCACUUUUGUACAAGUGGCUUCGACAGGCAAUAACCAUAGGUACAUAGCAUCUCUCCCAGCAACAAAAGUAGGAACUUCCCCGAUAAUCAAAUCAAUUGUGGGCUCAGGAAAUCAAGGUGUGACGUUAAGGUUUGCUAAUCCAACAAGUCAGCAGCCACAGUACGUCCAAUUACUUCAGCAGCCUGGAGGAGGUGUAAAAGCAAUUUCAGUUGCUUCCUUAACAAGUACUGGCCAGGUUGUGAAAACGACUGACGGUACAACUGGUACAAUGGCGAGAAUUGUACCUCAGUUCACUUGCAUAAAUACAGCGGGUGGAAGACAGCUUUUACUUUCGUCACCUCAGGUCAUACCUUCACAAGCAGGAGGGACAACAGUUAUGACGGCAAGCGGUCAGAGGCUGACUGUGCUUUCGAAACAAGGCACCAAUAUUGCUAAAUUAGUAAGCCCGACAGUAACACAAAUAAACAGUGCAAGGCCUAUCAUGAGGGUUCCUCCUUUGAACAUCACUACUGCCACUACUACAACUGUUCAAAAUUGUAUAACUAUAGCGUCCAACAAUGUAACUGCAACGUCAACAGUGGAUGCAACAGUGUCUGCUGUACAGACGUCGACCUUAAAUUCUAUCACCCCAACCACAGUUAAAAAUAUGACUACUCGGAACAGCUCUAAAACAAAAGAAAUUGACGAACCACCAUCUUUGGGAUUAAAAGAUGAUAUACUCACUGAAAGGAGGAGAAGGAGAAGACAAGAAAAACUAACCCUUAUAAGCAGAGUUAAUGAGAUGAGGUGUAACGCUUUACCAAUAUACGGUGUGGAUUUAAUCGAAUCUUUGUCACUUCAAGACAAACUUACCAAAGAAACAAACUGGUUGUGCACUGGUUAUAUUCAUUGCAAACAAGCGAAAUCACCAGAUCCAAGUUUGUACUGGAAUAAGACAGAAGCUCUUCAAAACAUGAUAUAUAGCAUUGAAGAAAGGGUUGCUAACCUGUCUGAUAUAUUCAACCGUUUUGUCAUGUUUGUACCCGCUGCGAGUGCACCAAGGCCGUCUGCGCACGUCUCGCAUCCAGCGCCUUGGAAAUUGCACAGAGAACAACAAAUGGAGAUAGCACUCGAGGAACACUUAAAACCCAAACUCAGGCUGCUCCACCCGAUUGCAUCUGCUAUGUCCACACUUUUCCCUGAUCCACGGUUGAUACAGUACGAUUGUGGCAAACUUCAGUCUCUAGAUCAUUUGCUUAGGAAAUUAAAAUCAGAACAUCACAGAGUAUUAAUUUUCACUCAAAUGACCAGGAUGCUGGAUGUUCUUGAAGCAUUUUUGAAUUUCCAUGGGCAUAUCUACCUUCGCCUUGAUGGCACAACAAAAGUGGAUCAACGACAGGUUUUAAUGGAGAGAUUUAAUGCUGACAAAAGAAUAUUUUGCUUUAUUCUUUCAACUCGUUCGGGAGGAGUAGGUAUCAAUCUCACAGGUGCUGAUACUGUCAUAUUUUAUGAUAGCGAUUGGAAUCCGACAAUGGAUGCCCAAGCUCAAGACAGAUGCCACAGAAUUGGACAGACGAGGGAUGUUCACAUAUACCGGUUGGUUAGUGAAAAGACUGUUGAAGAAAAUAUACUAAAAAAAGCGAAUCAGAAAAGAAUGCUGGGCGAUUUGGCAAUUGAAGGAGGAAAUUUCACAACAGCUUAUUUUAAGAGUUCAACAAUUCAAGAUCUGUUUAAUGUUGACACAACAGAAAAUGAUGCUUCACGGCGCAUGGCUGAUGUUCUGCAGAAAGAAAGUGAAAAAAAAUUGACAGCUUUAGAGCCCGCUUCUGUGACCAACCCAGAAGACAAGACUGCCCUAGGAGCUCUUGAAAGUGCAUUGGCACAAGCUGAAGAUGAUACAGAUGUUGCAGCAGCAUCAGUAGCCAAAGCUGAAGCAGCGGAUGAACUGGCAGAAUUUGAUGAAACCAUUCCAUUGGAGCAGCCAGAAGGUCCAGAACUGAGUAAAGCAGAAAUGGAACUGAAUCUUCUCAUGCAACAAUUGUCCGGUGUCGAAAGGUACGCCAUGAAGUUUAUGGAAGAGACGGAAGCAGUCUGGUCGGCCGAACAGUUGGCAGCAGUUGAGGCAGAAAUUGAACAGCAGAAGCGUGAAUGGGAGCAGGGAAGAUUGGCGGCUUUUAACGAAGAAGAAUCUCAAAAGAAGAGACAAGCAGAGGCAGAAAUGGAGGACAUUAUAACUUACUCAUCCACGGAUGCUAGAAAUCAGCUUUGGAUUUCGGAUGAUGGAAAAGAUUUGAUGCCGAUGUGGUGCCCGCCCACGCCACCUCAAGACGAUAGCGAUGUUUACAUUGACCAAGCAUUGGGCCUGCUCUAUGAGCAAAAAGUAAUGACCGAAGAACAACUUCCACCUGUGUUUGUAAAGAAAGAAAAGAAACGAACCCGUAUUGAAGCAGGCCUCCCAGAAGGUGGAAGGGUACAAGUAAAGAUGCGACAAAGGGAGGAGACAUUGUUGCACGCACCCAGGUCUCUAUUUGACCGCCCGACCCCAGCUUUGAUCAAAAUGCGCCAGGAGCUUCGUCUUCAAAAGUGCAGAGGAUUAAUUAGACCUUCAAUCCAAAACUUGAUGAAGCCUCAGCUACCUGUGAAGCCCCUUCCUGAACCUGAUCAUGUCCCAGAGUGGGUCAUACAAGAGGACUGGACUAUUCUUCAAGCGAUACAAAACAUCCAAGAAUUAACUUUGAAUUUAGUCGUCCUCUCUCCUGGACAGACUCCUAAUUGGGAUUUGGUAGCAGAUAUUGUGAACCUCACGGCUAGAACGUACCGUUCCCCUAAACAAUGUAGAAACAGAUAUGAAUCUGUUGUGAUACCGAGAGAGGAGGGGAAGUUGGUUCUUGAUAGCCCUAAGAAACAGAAAAAGACGAAAACAUUGUACAAAAUACCACAGAUAAAAGCAGGAAGACCUUUAAGGACAUCACAGUUGUACCAGCAGGACAACAACACUUCGAUGACCCAAGUGAUGAAUACAAGAUUCGAUGCAAUUCGUGCUGUGUCAAACAAGAGAGCCCCUACAAUCAAACCACUCCUUGUAGACCCUACAAUGAAAAAUCCGAAGCAUGCAGAGAUAUUGGCUGAGAACGCUAUUGACUAUGAAAAGCCCAUGACACCGAUUGAAGUUGCAGCGAAGCGAGCUGAUAGAAUUGCUAAGGAAAAGCAAGCCUUUGUCAAACAAGGCAUGGCUGUUCCUGAGCAGCAGCUAGCAGUCUUGCGACUUAAGCAACAACUUCAAAGCAGCAGCCCAAAAACAACAGUUGCAACUACAACUGUGACGACUACAACGAUUACUGCUCAAACCACAACUUCACCACCCACAAGAACUAUUGCUGUUCAGGAGUUGACAACAACAGGCAGAGUGGUUGCAAGUUCACCCACCCAGAGUACUAUAGUCGCACAAAGAUCGCCUUCAACAAACAUUAUCUCUGCCCAAUCGUCCCCAACUGUGACUACUGUAAAAGGUUCGACGAAGACUAUCAGUGCAGCCCAGUUGCAGAUUUACCGACAGCAGCAACUGCAGUUUAGGCAGCAGAACCUUCGCGUGCUCCAAUCGAGAGGAGGUGGUACUGCUGGACAGAAGAUUUCCGUAGCAGUUCCUACAGGCACUACUACACAACGGAUGCCUCAAGUCAAAGCAGCAGGAGUCACAAGAACAGUGUCAGAAUCUGAAGUUGUCGCUCUUUUUAAAAGGCAACAAGCUGCAAAAGUUUCAACGGCCACUACGCUGACUUCAGCACAAAUCUUAGCACAAGCUAGUUUGCAGGCCCAACAGUCUGGCAGUACAGGAGUAGGACAAGUUACAACAUUGGUCAAAACUAUUCCUGCCUCUUCUAUACCAGUGGGUGGACUUACUCAGAUGAAAGCUCUUGGCACUAAUAUUAAACAAGGAACUGUGACUCCACAACAAAUCAAGUCUAUACAGCAGCAGCUAAUGGCACAACGAAAAUUAGCCCAACAGAAAGUCACACAAAUUGGACAGGUAACCUCUAAGGCUGGAACAACUGCUCAGCUCAUUGUUCAAUCACAAAAGACAGUCCCAACUACAAUGACAAUGCAGCAAUUCCAGCAAGCGAUCAAACAAGUUCAACCCCAGCAUGUUCAGGUAGCACAAGGAAGCUCACCCCAAGUGAUAUCACAUUCUGUGUUUACUAAAACGCAAGGUGGAUCUCCUGCUAGGGUGAUUCCUGUUGCCACAAGCUCCCAGCAGCCUAUCAAGCAUGCAAUUCAGGGUAGGCUAACUGCAUCCAAUGAUGUGCAAAAGGGUGUGAACAGGGGCCGCUUCACUUCGAAAUGUCAAAAGGACUCUAACUCGAGAUGUUAAUACAAGAUAAGAAAAAUUGAAUUUGUUCGAGAAAACCAUAAAUGUGUAGUAAGCGGUAAUUCUAGCAGUCCAGGAAGGUCAGUGACAAUAGAUGCUUCAGGGAGGACAACUCAAACGGCUUUAGCAGGAGCUCUCAAGACAGGAUCGGCAUCUCAACAAGCCAUUCUAACUCAGGUGUCAGCAGCAGUAAUUCAACCGGGACAUCAGAUUACUAUGAGACAACCUGUACGAAUACAAGCAGCUACAGCACCACUUGUCGCAGUUGCCGUUUC